AGGACAAGAAGACCCUAUAGAGCUUCACUGAUAAAAGCCAUUACACUUCACUCUCAGUUUGGUUGGGACAACCAAAAGACAAAAAAACCUCUUCUUUUAUUCAACCACCACCCCACCCAUCAAUGAAUUAGAAUACUAGCUACCUUAGGGAUAACAGGCUAAUCCUACUAAAGAGAUCACAUUGACAGUAGGGGUUGGCACCUCGAUGUUGGCUUAGUGUAACCGUCAGGCGCAGCCGCUUGAUAGAGUUGGUUUGUUCAACCAUUAAAUCACUACGUGAUCUGAGU
rnacentral:rRNA from 1 species